UACGGAGGGUCCAAGCGUUGUCCGGAUUUAUUGGGUUUAAAGGGUCCGCAGGCGGGAAAAUAAGUCAGUGGUGAAAUCCUACAGCUUAACUGUAGAACUGCCAUUGAUACUGUUUUUUCUUGAGUAUAAUUGAAGUGGGCGGAAUGUGUCAUGUAGCGGUGAAAUGCAUAGAUAUGACACAGAACACCGAUUGCGAAAGGCAGCUCACUAAAUUACGACUGACGCUCAUGGCGAAAAGCUGGGGGAGC
rnacentral:rRNA from 1 species